GCGCGAGUGGCGGAAUUGGCAGACGCGCCAGAUUUAGGAUCUGGUGCCCUAGGGCGUGGAGGUUCAAGUCCUCUCUCGCGUACCA
rnacentral:tRNA from 4 species